CCCCAUAGGCUCUUUUUUGAGCUCACGGGUUGGGCUUCCUAGAGGGCUCUUGAAUUGACUUUUUGGAACUAGGCCCAAAUCCACUAGAAGACUGUCCUUUCUUCUUUAGAAUGAUUUAGGAAAUUGUCCUUAUUGGAAUUAGUUUCAUGUUUUGUCUUAAAGUCACAGUGAUCUUUGUAAACAUCAUCCUUCAGUAGACUUUUCUUGGAAAACUUCAUGCGGCACACUGAGUGUGCUGUUAAUUACCCUUGUCUUGCAAGUAAUUGUCUUACAAGAAUCUCGAAUACUGUAGGUCUCCUGUCGCUUGCGAGAUUUCUUCUUCGGGAUUAAUUUGG
rnacentral:lncRNA from 1 species